UACGGGGGGGGCAAGCGUUGUUCGGAAUUACUGGGCGUAAAGGGUUCGUAGGUGGCUUGCUAAGUCAGACGUGAAAUCCCUCAGCUUAACUGGGGAACUGCGUCUGAGACUGGCCGGCUUGAGUGCAGGAGAGGAACGCGGAAUUCCAGGUGUAGCGGUGAAAUGCGUAGAUAUCUGGAGGAAUACCGGUGGCGAAGGCGGCAUCCUGGACCGGCAUUGACGCUGAGGAGCGAAAGCUAGGGGAGCAAACGGG
rnacentral:rRNA from 1 species